UGAGUCGAUUUAACUGAACAACGCAAUGAAGAGAAUUCUUAUGCAGGGUGAAAUCGAAAAACACUAUCUACAGUACAGCAAUUAGCACAAUAUUGAAAUGACCUAAUUUGUUAUCUGCUUCCAUCGUUGACAUCUUGGUAUAGUGGUAAACACCGUGGCCAUCUUGGACGAAAGUUGCGGAGCAUUUCCAGGUAAAAGUCUCGUAACUUUUCCUAUAAUUUUUUCUUUAUUUUUUUUUUCCAUUAUUUUUUCCAAAAGUCUUCAAAUCGUUCCUCAUAACAGCGUAAUACUCAUGUUUUGAUAAUAUUUUGCAUAUUUGGACAAUUUUGAGUCGAUUUAACCAACGAUGACGAGGGCAUGAACCACGAUGUAUAGCGAUGAAGAGAAUGUUAUGUAGGGUGAAAUCCAAAAAAUCUACAUACAGCUAGUACAACGGAAAAUAGAAUAUUUAAGUAUUGACUAUUGUACUUUGUUACCAGUGUCAUCGUUGACAUCGUGGUAUAGUUGUAAACAC